CGUAACAAGGUUUCCGUAGGUGAACCUGCGGAAGGGUCAUUAUUGAAAUAAACCUGAUGGGUUGUUGCUGGUUCUCUAGGGAGCAUGUGCACGCCUUGUCAUCUUUAUAUCUCCACCUGUGCACUUUUGUAGACUUUCCAAGUCUAUGUUGCUUCAUUUACCCAAUGUAUGUUAAUAGAAUGUUGUCUUUUAUAAUAUAUACAACUUUCAGCAACGGAUCUCUUGGCUCUCGCAUCGAUGAAGAACGCAGCGAAAUGCGAUAAGUAAUUUGAAUUGCAGAAUUCAGUGAAUCAUCGAAUCUUUGAACGCACCUUGCGCUCCUUGGUAUUCCGAGGAGCAUGCCUGUUUGAGUGUCAUUAAUAUAUAAAUCAAACUUCUCUUGUUGAGUGGUUUGGAUGUGGGGGUUUGCUGGACUCUUAAAGGGGUUCAGCUCCUCUGAAAUGCAUUAGUGGAACAACCUUGUUCAUUGGUGUGAUAACUAUCUACGCUAUUGAAUGUAAGGGGCAGUUCAGCUUUCUAACAGUCUUUGGACAAUUUAUCAUUAAUGUGACCUCAAAUCAGGUAGGACUACCCGCUGAACUUAAGCAUAUCAAUAAGCGGAGGAAAAGAAACUAACAAGGAUUCCCCUAGUAACUGCGAGUGAAGCGGGAAAAGCUCAAAUUUAAAGUCUGGCGGUCUUCUGGCUGUCCGAGUUGUNAUCUAGAGAAGUGUUAUCCGCGCUGGACCGUGUACAAGUCUCCUGGAAUGGAGCAUCAUAGAGGGUGAGAAUCCCGUCUUUGACAUGGACUGCCAGGGCUUUGUGAUGCGCUCUCAAAGAGUCGAGUUGUUUGGGAAUGCAGCUCAAAAUGGGUGGUAAAUUCCAUCUAAAGCUAAAUAUUGGCGAGAGACCGAUAGCGAACAAGUACCGUGAGGGAAAGAUGAAAAGAACUUUGGAAAGAGAGUUAAACAGUACGUGAAAUUGCUGAAAGGGAAACGCUUGAAGUCAGUCGCGUCGUCCAGGGAUCAACCUUGCUUUUGCUUGGUGCACUUUCUGGUUUGACGGGUCAGCAUCAAUUUUGAUUAUUGGAAAAAGGCUGAGGGAAUGUGGCUUCUUUGGAUGUGUUAUAGCCCUUGGUCACAUACAAUGGUUGGGAUUGAGGAACUCAGCACGCCGCAAGGCCGGGUUUUAUACCACGUACGUGCUUAGGAUGCUGGCAAUAUGGCUUUAAUCGACC
rnacentral:rRNA from 1 species